ACAAAGCAAUGCAAACGGUAUGGCCAAGUGUUGAUGGUUAGCUGCAGCAACAAGGCCAGAUUUGUUGCAUCAUGGACUCUUCAAUAUUAAGUUAACCAUGCAUUUCCUUUGGCUUGGUGAGUUUCUUUGGUUAGAACCAUGAGUGACAAGGUUGUGGCUGUUAGAGUUCUUUUGAGAUUGAUUUGGAACAGACCACAUUCAAAGGUUAUUGAUGCCAAAAUGUCAAGAUAACAUGGCAGGUGCACAAUGGGACUUGCUUGCGAUGGAAAACACCAAGAAAAAUCAACAACAAACAUGAAGAUUGGGUGAUGUAUGAAGAAAAAGGCCAGGCCAAGUUGGAUGGGCAAGAGCAAGUGAAAGUUGACUUUGGUCAAAGUUGAACAAAAGUCAACUGUUGACCAAAGUCAACAAAUGGUCAAAAUGUAUUUUCUUUUUGAUUUCUUUGUAAAUGGAUAUUCAAUGGAAAAUUAUGGGUGAAUUUAGGGUUUAAUGGAUUUGGGUUGACUUUGGUCAAAGUUGUCCAAAAAGUCAACUGUUGACCAAAGUCAACAGUUGGUCAAAAAGGCCAAUUUUGUAUUUUCUUGUAUGGAAUCACAUGUAAUGGUUUAAAAUGGAUGAAAUGGAUUGGAAUGGUUUGAAAAAAUGAUUGGAGAUGUUUUCAUAAUUGGCUUGAA
rnacentral:lncRNA from 1 species